UACGUAGGGGGCAAGCGUUGUCCGGAAUCAUUGGGCGUAAAGCGCGUGUAGGCGGCCCGAUAAGUCCGCUGUGAAAGUCCAGGGCUCAACCCUGGAAUGCCGGUGGAUACUGUCGGGCUCGAGUCCGGAAGAGGCGAGUGGAAUUCCUGGUGUAGCGGUGGAAUGCGCAGAUAUCAGGAGGAACACCAGCAGCGAAGGCGGCGCUCUGGGCUGGAACUGACGCUGAGGAGCGAAAGCGUGGGUAGCAAACAGG
rnacentral:rRNA from 1 species